rnacentral:rRNA from 1 species
UGGGGAAUCUUGCACAAUGCGCGAAAGCGUGAUGCAGCAAUGCCGCGUGUGGGAAGAAGGGCUUCGGCUCGUAAACCACUUUCAGUUGGGACGAAGCUGUUGCCGUUAAUAGCGGUAUGCAGUGACGGUACCUUCACAAGAAGCCCCGGCUAACUACGUGCCAGCAGCCGCGGUAAUACGUAGGGGGCAAGCGUUGUCCGGAAUCAUUGGGCGUAAAGAGCGUGUAGGCGGUUCGAUAAGUCUGCUGUGAAAGUCCAGGGCUCAACCCUGGGAUGCCGGUGGAUACUGUCGAACUUGAGUCCGGAAGAGGCGGGUGGAAUUCCUGGUGUAGCGGUGAAAUGCGCAGAUAUCAGGAGGAACACCAAUGGCGAAGGCAGCCCGCUGGGACGUGACUGACGCUGAGACGCGAAAGCGUGGGGAGCAAACAG